CCUCCUCUUCUUGGCGGGGAUCAGGCUUUGGUCCUGGUUCCUGUAAUGUAGGGAGGCAGAGGGACAGGCCUCCGCCCCUCUCUGUGUCAUGUCUUCAGUGCUGAUGGCUUCCAGUCCACCAAUUCUACACGGGGGAAGAA
ensembl:snoRNA